UAUAUAAAGAUGGCCAAAGCGACCCUCGCCAGUGGAGAAGGUCCAAGGAUUGGGAAGACCCUCGCCGUCAAAGCCGCCAUGCCGUUCUCGGCCACUUCCCUCGCUGUUCUUCUCCUGAUCUGGUCUGUGAUCACUGUAGAAGAGACCUGGGCUGAGGACACUUCGGAGCCGGAGGAGCCGUCCAUGGAAGACCCGCUGUCCAACCCUGGGGAGGUUGAAAGAGCCUUGAAGGAGCCGACACCGUUGAUUUGCAAGAAGUACUUCCAGGAGUCUUGGACAGAUUGCUGAGGUCUACCGAGGCAGUCUUCUCCUCUGGAUGAUGGGAUUGCAAACCACCACAGGAGCAUCGUGGACUGGGACACCGGCUCUCGGGCGCCUCUCUGUGACUUAUAAGAAGCAUCGUUGGAGCCAAAACAACAUGAAACUUGCGUUGCUUUUGUUUACUGAUUUACUAGCAUAUAUACCAUGCGUUGCCUGGACAGUGUUGGAACCACUGCUUCCCUACUCUCUUCCUUCUCCAGCUAUAAGAAGGCCUACUUUCUCCCAUCUUUCGCUCUGAGUAGGCCUACUUUGUCCAUUCUCCAGCUCUGAGUAGGCCUACUUUGUACCCUUAUCCAGCUCUGAGUGGGCUUACUUUGUCCCUUCUCCAGCUCUAAGUAGGCUUACUUUGUCCCUUCUCCAGCUCUGAGUAGGCCUACUUUGUCCCUUCUCCAGCUCUGAGGCCUACUUCCUCCCUUCUCCAGCUCUGAGAAUGUCUACUUCCUCCCUUCUCCAGCUCUGAGUAGGCCUACUUUGUCCCUUCUCCAGCUCUGAGUAGGCCUACUUCCUCCCUUCUCCAGCUCUGAGAAUGUCUACUUCCUCCCUUCUCCAGCUCUGAGUAGGCCUACUUUCUCCCUUCUCCAGCUCUGAGAAGGCCUACUUUUUCCUUUCUCCAUCUCUGAGAAGGUGAUCUACUCUCCCUUCUCCAGCCCUGAGAAGAAGGCCUACUUUCUCCCUUCUCCAUCUAUGAGAAAAAUACCUACUUUCUCCCUUCUCCAGCUCUGAGAAGGGAGAAAGCCACGUCCUCCAUGGCAAUGCUAUAUAUGUCGAGCAGGCUCUCUUUGCGGCUCUUUCCUUCUUUUCUUCCCCUCAUGACCCCAUUCUUUCCCAUCACGGAAGGCCACUUCACCUAGCAACAGGCAAUCCAGUGACAUCGCAGAGGGCCACUUUACCUAGCAACAAUCUUUGUGGUACAGAUAAACAUACACGAUAUAUAUAUAUAUAUAUAUAUAUAUAUAUAUAUAUGAAUGACUGUGUUCCAUGUUUAGUCCAUUUGCUAAUCAAAACAUCGUGAAAUCCAGACAAAUGGUAUCCAGAGCAUUCUUACCAUUCCCAUUCCCAGAGCGUUCACAAUCAAGGCACCACCAACAGAUGGUCACACAGCCUUUGUAAUAAUCAUAAUAAUAGUAAUAAUAAUAAUAGUAAUAAUAAUAGGAGAAACCACAAGGAUCAUCCAGUUCAAUGCUAAUGCUGGUCAUCAUCCUUGGCUGACUGAGGGUCAAGGCAGGUCAGUUCUUCCAGGGACGACUAUUACUACUACUACUACGAUUACUACUACUACUCAAUGCUGAUGCUGGUCUGGAUCACAUCAUCCUUGGCUGACUGAGGGUCAAGGCAGGUCAGUUCUUCCAGGGACGACUAUAACUACUACGAUUACUACCACUACUACUACUACUACUAAUCAAUGCUGAUGCUGGUCUGGACCACAUCAUCCUUGGCUGACUGAGGGUCAAGGCAGGUCAGUUCUUCCAGGGACUACUAUUACUACUACUGUACUACUACUAUGGGAAGGACUGAUGGAUCAAACACAUAGUAGAGACAUGAAGUGAGGCAUAACUUGGACUCCCAACAAUAUAACUUGAAGCCUGUGACAACAAGUUGGGUGCAAUUCUAUGAAGGUCAAUUCGGACCUGACUCGACCCUAUUGAGAACGACCUCCAUGGUCUGGAAUAAAACCUAUUUAUUAUGAUAUGUAUCCCCACAACCUCUGAGGAUGCCUGCCAUAGAUGUGGGCGAAAUAUCAGGAGAGAAUGCUUCUGGAACAUGGCCAGACAGCCCGGAAAACUCAUAGCAAACCCAGUUCUUUAUUAUACAUAACAAUGUAUUUACCAUUGCAAUUCUAACUGUAGCCACUAGAGGGCAGCGUUGCACUUCAAUGUCUGGUCUAGAGUCCUAGAGAUCUCAAUUUGUAGACCACGGUGCCACCUGGUGGCAAUUCAGCCUCACUGCAUAUGGAACUUAAAGAAUAACUAGAUGGAAUAAUGAAUAUAAAUACAGUAGAGUCUCACUUAUCCAAAGUUCUGGAUUAUCCAACGCGUUUUUGUAGUCAAUCAUUUCAAAUCAUCAUAUUUUGGUGCUAAAUUCGUAAAUACAAUAAUUACUACAUAGCAUUACUGCAUAUUGAACUACUUUUCUGUCAAAUUUGUUGUAUAACCUGAUGUUUUGGUGCUUUAUUUGUAAAAUCAUAACCUAAUUUGAUGUUUAAUAGGCUUUUCCUUAUUAUCCAACAUAUUCACUUAUCCAGCGUUCUGCCAGCCUGUUUAUGUUGGAUAAGUGAGACUCUACUGUAUAUGUAUAAUAGUGAAUAUAAAUAUAAUCAUUGUAUUUCAUAUAUUACAUGUAAUAUUACUAAUAAUAUUGCAGUAUAGUGGUAUAAUACAAUAUAGUAAUAUAUAACGCUAAUAUUGUUCUAUGCUAAUUAUAUAAUAUAAUGUAUGUACAUAUAACUUGUAAGCCGCUCUGAGCCCCCUUCGGAGUGAGAGAGGGCGGGGUAUAAAUGUAGUAAAUAAAUUAAUAAAUAAUACGAUUAUAUAGAAUGUAUAAUGGUGCAGUGAGUUAGUAGCCAGCUGCAAUAAAUCACUACUGACCGAGAGGUCAUGAGAUCGAAGCUUGGGUCGGAUUGAGCUCCUGACCAUAUAAUAGCCUAGCUUGUUGUUGAACUAAGCAGCCCAAAAGAGAGUUGCAUCUAUCAAGUAGGGAAAUUUAGGUACCGCAUUAUGCGGGGAGGCUAAUUUUACUAAUUUACGACACCAUAAAAAUAAUGCUAAGACUUUGCCAUCUGCGCAGGGUUCCACAACACAACCGUUCAAUGCUAAGGCUUCCCGCCAAAUGAAACUAACUGUAGUCUACUGAACAAGUCAGGACCUGCUGCAGACCAGGAAUGAGUUACGAAGGUGGAGGCAUUACUUUUCAUUCAACUCUCAUAGUAUUAUUAUUAUUAUUAUUAUUAUUAUUAUUAUUAUUAUGCAGUCGCCGGCGAUGCCAAAACUACCAGAUAUACCCUUUGUUUCCAAUUUAACCUUAGGCCAAAGCAAAGGGAGAAAGGAACACACAAAAGACAACAAUGAAGGCGAGAGACGGUUGUGAUGCUGAGGUCUAUAUGUAUUUCUCCAAUUCCAGUGUAACAGGAUGGAUGGACCACGAUAGUGUCUUAUUUAAAUGAUAAAUCGGAACACAAGUCCUUGACCUGUAAAGCAAUUGAACCGCGGAGUGCUUGGACUCCGACACCCCUCGUCCUGAGGCAACACGGUCAGGUAUGCUGGAGAUUGUAGUCCAACGGGAUAUAAAAUAAUCUCAGAUAUAUUGCUAAAGACGGAGAGGGCGGAAACAUGUUGACGAAUCUUUCCCUUCCGUAUUAUUUCCCAUGAUAGAUUCAGAUAUGAUUGGGAUUUUGGGAGUGAAUGAUAUUCAGUGCUUCCUUUGCAAUACGACAGGCAAAACUCGCAAAAAUAAGAUUUACAACAAAAUUAGGAUCUGAAUGUAAACCACUGGAAACACUUGACCUCCUUGGAUGCGUUUCAGGCAUAUCCGUCCUCCGAAUACUACAAAAUACAUAUUGGGGAGAUAUCUGUCUAAGCUCCAAAUUUACAUUCCUCUUUUUUUCCUCUCUCACCCUGUAACAGAACAAAAAAAAUGAUAUUUUUCUUACGUAUUUAAAGCUAAGUACAAUUCUCCGCAGACGAGAAUUUCUGUUGUUUGUUUUGUGCGGAAAAUCGAAAAAUUCAUGACUUCGAGGGUAUUAAACGCAGGCACA